CAGAUGCAGCUGCAUUUCUGACAAGAGUUCUUGGCCACCCCUGCUCUGUCUCCAUCCAGAAUAGUUCUUGCGGGGCACACUGCUCAGAUAUGAUAUAAAGGUAUUGGAAAGAAAACCUCUCUUAUGGAAACAGCAACAAAUUCCAAACUAUCUGGGUAGCACAAGCAAUUUACUCUCCUUCAACUUAAAGAAUUGUUGCUUUAUGGCCAUUUUCCUUGAGUUUAUUGAUUUCAUAUGCAGUUUUUUUUUUACAAUGCCAUAAUGCAUCUGGGCUUCAUGCACAGAGACAGAAAGGAUAACUAACAUUGGUGUCAUCUGUCAACCCAAAGUAAUCAAUGGCACCUGGUCUCUACUUAGAAGUGCAAAGCAUCAAGGAGCAAAGUCUCUUCAAUCAAAGUGCCUCAAGGACAAGAAAGCUCAUGUUUAUCAACUCCAGGUAUUUAUUCACUGUACCUUAUUUACAACAUGCCACUCAGGCCAUGAUUUGACACUGUUUCACUAUGGUUCCAGAAGAUGUUUUCCACUGGAGAUAAUGGCCACCCUACUCCUCUGAACUAGCAAAAUCACCUUCCCCUGCUAACCAUAUGACAGGACUCAAGACUCCAAACAUGCCCCAUGAAUAAAUGUUCUCAAACACCCA
rnacentral:lncRNA from 1 species